ACCAUUUGGGGAAGGGAGAUUCAGCGUCAUCCAGGACCUGCUCGUACGGCUUAAACCAAUCUAUAUUCUUUGCAACUUUGUCCCAAAAUAUGUCUGGACUUGCGAUAGAUCUUUGGUAUGUUUCUUCGUAUGAAGUCCUGCAGACACUUGUGUGAAGACUAUUGAUUUGUUGCGCUAAAUAGUGCUGUUUGCAAGCAAAUCUACGUUGCAGUAGCUUCUUUAUAGCAGGUCUGAAUGGCCAUAGCCUUGACAUCUUAGCCAACAUAUACCGGUUCAUAAUAUACACAUGUACAAUUUCUAAUUGAUGUUUAUUGAUGUGUGGAACAUAGACACUACAUCGGCUACCUCCUCCGUAAGCCCUUUUUCCGGGCAAAUUUGCGGGCUGUGCAAAUUUUUGCGGGCCACUUUU